UUACGGCCAUAUCACGUUGAAACACAGUUCCCGUACGAUCACCGAAGUUAAGCAACGUCUAGUCUAGUCAGUACCUUGAUGCGUGUCCGCUAGGGAAUACAAGGCGCUGUCAG